rnacentral:rRNA from 1 species
UCAAGUGAAGAAGCGCAUACGGUGGAUGCCUUGGCAGUCAGAGGCGAUGAAAGACGUGGUAGCCUGCGAAAAGCUUCGGGGAGUCGGCAAACAGACUUUGAUCCGGAGAUCUCUGAAUGGGGGAACCCACCUAGGAUAACCUAGGUAUCUUGUACUGAAUCCAUAGGUGCAAGAGGCGAACCAGGGGAACUGAAACAUCUAAGUACCCUGAGGAAAAGAAAUCAACCGAGAUUCCCUUAGUAGUGGCGAGCGAACGGGGAUUAGCCCUUAAGCUUCAUUGAUUUUAGCGGAACGCUCUGGAAAGUGCGGCCAUAGUGGGUGAUAGCCCCGUACGCGAAAGGAUCUUUGAAGUGAAAUCGAGUAGGACGGAGCACGAGAAACUUUGUCUGAACAUGGGGGGACCAUCCUCCAAGGCUAAAUACUACUGACUGACCGAUAGUGAACCAGUACCGUGAGGGAAAGGCGAAAAGAACCCCGGAGAGGGGAGUGAAAUAGAACCUGAAACCGUAUGCGUACAAGCAGUGGGAGCCUACUUGUUAGGUGACUGCGUACCUUUUGUAUAAUGGGUCAGCGACUUAUAUUCAGUGGCAAGCUUAACCGUAUAGGGUAGGCGUAGCGAAAGCGAGUCUUAAUAGGGCGUUUAGUCGCUGGGUAUAGACCCGAAACCGGGCGAUCUAUCCAUGAGCAGGUUGAAGGUUAGGUAACACUGACUGGAGGACCGAACCCACUCCCGUUGAAAAGGUAGGGGAUGACUUGUGGAUCGGAGUGAAAGGCUAAUCAAGCUCGGAGAUAGCUGGUUCUCCUCGAAAGCUAUUUAGGUAGCGCCUCAUGUAUCACUCUGGGGGGUAGAGCACUGUUUCGGCUAGGGGGUCAUCCCGACUUACCAAACCGAUGCAAACUCCGAAUACCCAGAAGUGCCGAGCAUGGGAGACACACGGCGGGUGCUAACGUCCGUCGUGAAAAGGGAAACAACCCAGACCGCCAGCUAAGGUCCCAAAGUUGUGGUUAAGUGGUAAACGAUGUGGGAAGGCUUAGACAGCUAGGAGGUUGGCUUAGAAGCAGCCACCCUUUAAAGAAAGCGUAAUAGCUCACUAGUCGAGUCGGCCUGCGCGGAAGAUGUAACGGGGCUCAAACCACACACCGAAGCUGCGGGUGUCACGUAAGUGACGCGGUAGAGGAGCGUUCUGUAAGCCUGUGAAGGUGAGUUGAGAAGCUUGCUGGAGGUAUCAGAAGUGCGAAUGCUGACAUGAGUAACGACAAUGGGUGUGAAAAACACCCACGCCGAAAGACCAAGGGUUCCUGCGCAACGUUAAUCGACGCAGGGUUAGUCGGUUCCUAAGGCGAGGCUGAAAAGCGUAGUCGAUGGGAAACAGGUUAAUAUUCCUGUACUUCUGGUUACUGCGAUGGAGGGACGGAGAAGGCUAGGCCAGCUUGGCGUUGGUUGUCCAAGUUUAAGGUGGUAGGCUGAAAUCUUAGGUAAAUCCGGGGUUUCAAGGCCGAGAGCUGAUGACGAGUCGUCUUUUAGAUGACGAAGUGGUUGAUGCCAUGCUUCCAAGAAAAGCUUCUAAGCUUCAGGUAACCAGGAACCGUACCCCAAACCGACACAGGUGGUCGGGUAGAGAAUACCAAGGCGCUUGAGAGAACUCGGGUGAAGGAACUAGGCAAAAUGGCACCGUAACUUCGGGAGAAGGUGCGCCGGCUAGGGUGAAGGAUUUACUCCGUAAGCUCUGGCUGGUCGAAGAUACCAGGCCGCUGCGACUGUUUAUUAAAAACACAGCACUCUGCAAACACGAAAGUGGACGUAUAGGGUGUGACGCCUGCCCGGUGCCGGAAGGUUAAUUGAUGGGGUUAGCGCAAGCGAAGCUCUUGAUCGAAGCCCCGGUAAACGGCGGCCGUAACUAUAACGGUCCUAAGGUAGCGAAAUUCCUUGUCGGGUAAGUUCCGACCUGCACGAAUGGCGUAACGAUGGCGGCGCUGUCUCCACCCGAGACUCAGUGAAAUUGAAAUCGCUGUGAAGAUGCAGUGUAUCCGCGGCUAGACGGAAAGACCCCGUGAACCUUUACUGUAGCUUUGCACUGGACUUUGAGCCUGCUUGUGUAGGAUAGGUGGGAGGCUUUGAAGCGUGGACGCCAGUUCGCGUGGAGCCAUCCUUGAAAUACCACCCUGGCAUGCUUGAGGUUCUAACUCUGGUCCGUAAUCCGGAUCGAGGACAGUGUAUGGUGGGCAGUUUGACUGGGGCGGUCUCCUCCUAAAGAGUAACGGAGGAGUACGAAGGUGCGCUCAGACCGGUCGGAAAUCGGUCGUAGAGUAUAAAGGCAAAAGCGCGCUUGACUGCGAGACAGACACGUCGAGCAGGUACGAAAGUAGGUCUUAGUGAUCCGGUGGUUCUGUAUGGAAGGGCCAUCGCUCAACGGAUAAAAGGUACUCCGGGGAUAACAGGCUGAUACCGCCCAAGAGUUCAUAUCGACGGCGGUGUUUGGCACCUCGAUGUCGGCUCAUCACAUCCUGGGGCUGA